CUUGUACUCCCUCCGUCUGAAAAUACUUGUCAUUGAAACGGAUGUAUCUAGAUGUAUUUUAGUUCUAGACACAUCCAUUUUGAUGACAAGUAAUUCCGGACGGAGGGAGUACUUG
rnacentral:pre_miRNA from 1 species